rnacentral:rRNA from 1 species
CGUGUAGGCGGGACGGCGCGUCGGCCGCUGAAAUCCCCCGGCUCAACCGGGGAAGUGGCGCCGAUACGGCCGCCCUGGAGCGACGUAGGGGGGACCGGAACUUCCGGUGGAGCGGUGAAAUGCGUUGAGAUCGGAAGGAACGCCCGUGGCGAAAGCGGGUCCCUGGACGUCGGCUGACGCUGAGACGCGAAAGCCAGGGGAGCGAACG